rnacentral:rRNA from 1 species
GACGAACGCUGGCGGCGUGCUUAACACAUGCAAGUCGAACGGAAAGGCCCUGCUUUUGUGGGGUGCUCGAGUGGCGAACGGGUGAGUAACACGUGAGUAACCUGCCCUUGACUUUGGGAUAACUUCAGGAAACUGGGGCUAAUACCGGAUAGGAGCUCCUGCUGCAUGGUGGGGGUUGGAAAGUUUCGGCGGGUGGGGAUGGACUCGCGGCUUAUCAGCUUGUUGGUGGGGUAGUGGCUUACCAAGGCUUUGACGGGUAGCCGGCCUGAGAGGGUGACCGGCCACAUGGGGACUGAGAAAAGGCCGAGGCUCCUACGGGAAGCAGCAGGGGGGAAGGUUGCACAGUGGGCGGAAGCAUGAUGCAGCAAGGCCGCGUGGGGGAGGAAGGCCUUCGGGUGGUAAAACACUUUCGCCUGUGACGAAGCGGGGGUGACGGGAAUGGGUAAAGAAGGACCGGCUGACUAAGGG